GGGAUAUAGCUCAGUUGGUAGAGCGCUUGAAUGGCAUUCAAGAGGUCAUCGGUUCGAUCCCGACUAUCUCC
rnacentral:tRNA from 1 species